CAUAAUGUUCUUCAUGUAAUUGUAGAUUAAUGAUACCAAAAUAAAAAUAAAAUAAAAUAAAUCACCAGCUGAGUAUAAAACCAUAUUUUAAAUGGCUUGCGUUCAGAAAGACUCUAAAAAGAAAGCCUGCCACGGUAAGGAAUGCCACAGCCUGCUGGUGUAUGCCAGAGCUCCCUAUGUGAGGAGGCAACUGGAUGUCACAGCUCAACCUUCCAACUCCAUUCCCAUAAAGAAUGAUUGAAUGAUCGUACAGAGUGAUGUUUAUUAGUAUUUUCUUGUUUAAUUCUUGAAAGUCUAACUACAGGUCUUAGGGAAAAAUCUACCAGUUGUGGGAUUGUUGUUACUACAAUCAGAUUCCUGAGAGAAAAUAGAUAAAAAGAAAAAUUUGUGCUUAAAAUACUUCUAAUUCACAAGACAAUGAAGUGACACUUAAGUGAAAAUAUUGAGAUUUGCUGCUCAUAUUCUAAACUGGUUCUUCAUUAAAUUAACUUUAUCUAAAGUAAAAUUAAGAAAAAGUUUGGUGUCAAGCAUUUUCUCUUAAAGGGUUGAAAUUAGUGCCCAAUUAACCUGUACCCAGAACUGAUUUUUAACUGUACUGACUGGUAUGGCCCUACUGGUUACCAUAUUGGAAUACUUCUACCCAGUUGGGAAUAACCAAGUAACUACCCCCCAGAUGAUGCCCUCUGUCUUAGCCACCCUGUCCAACAGCCCCACAGCCUCCUCAUGAUGCCGCAACAGAAUGACAUCUGGUAGAGAAGGGCUUGUGGACUGUGGCCCAGGAUCUGUCUGACUGGUCUGUGCCCCACUAGUUGUUAAAUAACCAUAUUUUGAAUGUUGAUCCCUGUCUAUGUCAAUAAUAACUGAAUGGCACAUCAGUGAUUAAUCAAGAAGCGUAAAUUUGGCAUAUUUUUUCUUAGUCUUGAACGCGGUAGUGUGGGUAUGAUUUAAAUGAUCCAAUGGAAAACUGCUGGAAACACCAAAUCUGAGGGAACUUACUUAACUCUUAACUUUUCUGUAUUGUCCUACCUUCCUCUUCUCUUCUCAUAUACACACAUUUCCUUCCUGAAAAGGCACUGCCCUGUUUUGUUUUGUCCUUUUAUCGUUGGACCUUGAAGUACCUUAAGUCAUUUAGUGUUAGUGUCAUCAGAGUACUGUCAAUACACAGUCACAUCAAUGUGGAUCUUACUGAGCUACUAUUUUAACUCUGAGAUUCAUUUGUUUUUCUUUCAAGGAGAGGCAAAUGUAAUCUGUCCUGUGGUUUACUGCUCUGCCACAUGUUUUAUUGACUUCUCAUUGGCCUCCCAAAGAUUAAUAAUCUAUUCUUCUAAAUUCUGAUUGUUUGGGGUGGAAUGAUUGUUUCUUGUCAUUUGAGAUGAAGCCAUAUGGUAUGAGAAUUUAAAACAUGGGCUGUGAACUCACCUGUUUGAGUUUCACCUGCUUCAUACCUACAUGACUCUAGGUAAGUUGUUCAACCUAGCCAAGUAUCAUCAUUGGUCAAGUAGAGAUGAUAAGAGUUUUAAUAUCUCUUAAAUGUGACAAAAGCAUUAAGUGCCUACGGAGACAUACUGAAUAAUUGUUAACAAAACACAGUAAGCAACCUAAUUUUCUGAUCCUGGCAGAUAAGCUACUUGAAUAUUUGGUGUGUGAAUUAGAGAAUGCCAAGUGACCUUGGGAAAGUCACUUAAUCCUUCUGAGUUUCAGUAAAAUGAAUAGAAUAUCUUACCCUCCAAAGUUGUUUUGAGUCUUAAACAACAAGAAAGCAUCUAUAAGACAAUUUGCUCAACCAAUAUAUACUGAGUGCCUUUAUGUAUCAAUAUUUGCUGAUCAAACAGUGGACAGCAUAGACAAUGUGGUGUUCAUGGGGCUUACUCAGAGUAGGACUGAAUAAAUACUGAUUUGCAAUCAGAAGGCAAAGAAAUGCCAUAUACACAAUUUAUAAAAUCAAAUGUGCUUCACCCUCUCAUGAAGAGAGUAGGUUUUAUUCUUCACAAAAUUAGUGAAGCAUUCUGGUCAACAGCAGCUACAAAGAUUGUGUCACUAGUACCAAAUAAGUGACAGUAGUUGGUGACUGUCUCCUGAGGGAUUUCCAGAUGCCCAAGUAUGAACGUAAAGCUGCGUUUCUGGAUUGUGGGCCUGAGUUAUGUCAGAAUUGACCAGGUCUGCCAGUGGUUACCCAUCCUGCUAACUCCUGUGGAAACAAACGUUAAAUGAAAGCUGGAAUGUAUCUCUAGUGAUCUGAAGCCCUGAGGUGGUAAGCCAAAGUUGCAGGGGCACAGGUGGUAUUUUUUAAUCUCUCCUAGUUGUACGCCAUGCUCAGAAGAGGUAUGGGAAGCAAACAGAUGGUUUUACACAUAGUAUCAAGAGAGUUUGUUUUUCUGGACCAUGGUUUAUAGUACUAGUAUUUCAGGAUCCUAAAGGGGCCCCUGGGAAGCUGAUGCCAGUACAAGAUCAAUCGGAAAUGUAACAGAAUAAGGGAAGUACUGGUGAAGGAUAAGAGCAGGGGAUACAGAGUAAGAAUAGGCUGGGAAGGCUUCAUACCACCAUACAGUUCUCACACCUGUGAAGAGAGGUGGGAAGAAAGGAAGAGAUGGCAGAAAAAGCCUCAGAUUGCAGCACAGUCCUCAGAAAGCUGCCAAGGCCAAUGGGGUGUCCCCAGGCAAAGGUUGUCUAGGCAAGGCCUCCUGAGCAGGGCAGAGAUGGGCCAGUACUCUCCCUCCACCCAGUGGUGUGCUUUUCACCAGUGACUGGGGCGGCCUGGGGAAGAGAGAGGACAGCUUGGCCUCAGCAUAAAGAGUGGUGGAUCCGGGGGGGAUGUCAGUCACUAGGCCUUCCACAGCUGGUUGUCUUAAGGGAGAUGUGAACAGCACACUUUAAUGGGGGCUGCAGACCCUAAACUGCAUACCUCUUAGGAACUGUGGCAUACAAAGGCAGGUCUUCAGGAAUUCUACAGGCAGAAGGACCCACAUCUAGGUCAUCAUUUGGUAUUCCCCACCUCUGUAUUAGGCACUGGGGUUACAGCCCUGGGCAUGACAGAAGGGCCUCUGCUUCAUGCGAUCUUCUGGGCAGACAUGUAGGAAGGCACCAUGAACAAGUAUCAGAUGUGACCUCUUCUAGGUAGAGUGAUUGUCAUAUUCCUCUCUGGAAGCCAGGUAACCUGGGCCUUGCAGGCUGAGGAAAUAGCAAGUACAGAGGCCCGGAGGCAGGAAAGAGCUUAGCGCCUUCUAGGAAUGGAAAGAGCUCAAACGCUGGAGUGAAGGAAACCUUAGGGAAGGGAGUAGCAUGGGAUGAGGUUUUGAAGUGAAAAAGUGCCAGAUAAGGCAAGUCUUUGUCAGCUCUGGUGAGGCUUAUGGACUUUGUUUUAAAUGCAGUAGAAAGAACUGAAGAUGUUCAAAGCAGGGGGAUGGUGUGAUCUGCUUUAAAUUUUGUCAGGCGCACUCUUCCUACUGUAUCGAGGAUCACUUGGAAGGUGACAAGUGUGGUAGUUGGAGACAGAUUAGGAGAUAAGGGAAUGAUGUUGAAGACUUGGACUGAGUGGCAGCAGUAGAGAAGUGGACUUUUAAAAGGUAUUUUAGAGGUAGAACCUACAGGACCUGCUGAGGACUUCUCUGGAUGAAAGAAAAGGAGAAAUCAAAGACAACUCAGAUUUCUGGCUUAAUCAGCUGGGUAGAUAGUGAUGCCUCAUACUGAUAUGGUAGAGAUGGUGGGAGAGGGAGAUUUGGGAGGAGUAUUCUAGGAAAUUAAGAAUUCACCUUGGGCAUAUUUGGGGUGCCCACUAGCCAAGGGGCAAUGUCAAGUACAUUGUUCUUGAAGCACAUGUCCAGGUGCAUAUAUGAUUCUUGGGGAGAGGUUGGGCUGGAGAGAAUAAAUUCCACAGUUGUCAACAUGUGAAAGGUAUUUAAAGCUGUAGGAUUGGUUGAGAUCACUUAGAUGUAAAAGAAGAGGGCAUAGGCCCAAUCCCUGAGGAACCUCAACAUUCAGAAGUUAAGGCAGAGGCAGGAAUGGAGAAGAGCCAGGGCAAGAGGAGGGGAUCAGGGUGCUCAGAGGAGAGUGCUUCAGGGAGGGAGCUCCCUGUCAAGUGCCUCAGAGAUGAGGACCAGUAAGAUGGAGCUAAAAAAGUCUUGAGAACAUGAGAACAUAUUAACAAGAUCAUUUUCCAGUGAGUGAUGAGAAAGGAAGCCAAAUUAGUGAGUUAAAGAAAGAAUGGGAGAUGGGAAGGUAGAAGCUAUAUGGGUAGACUUCCCAUUUCAAGAGUUUUAUUAUGAAAGGUACCUGAGAGAUGGUUUAAUUACUGGAGGUGGAGUCCAGGGAGUCUUAAAUUUUAAUGUAUUCAUUUAUUUUAAGAUGGAAGAGGUUGUAGAAAAAAGUCAUUGGGACUAAUAGUCUUCAUCCCAGUUUGCUGGGGUUAGAUUCUCAGACAAAAAGGGAGAACAAAGUUGCCCCCAGCCCCUGGGUGGAGAGGGCUGGGUCAGCAGGGACUCCAGCUGGAGCAGGACCUGGGGUGAUGGGCUCUGAGGGACUCGGGUUUCCCAUCGGCAGGGGCAAGUCCGUGGAGGAUGGUGCUGAGCAGUGUCCCUCAGAUGUCUCUGGCCUAGCUCUGAGGUCAUGAAUCCAGAGCUCCUCUAAAAAUGCUGAAUAAUGACCUAAACAAGGCCAGCCUCCGAGGAGUUCAAUAAAGGAACGCUAACAGGAGGAGGAAGAGGCCUUGCCCCACCGCAGCAAGUGAGAGCAGCAGCUGCAGGAAGGACAAGGUCAGCUUUUGGGCCUUGGAAAUGUUAAGACUGAUACUGAAACAAGUAAAAGGUCUGUUUCUGAGAUCUUUCAGCACCAUGUACUGCCGAACAAGGCUUCCUGGCUGUGUGGGAGAAAGCUGUGUGUCAGCUGCACAAAAAGUCACAUGUCCGAAGUCAUCUCUUGUCAUUUCUUUUGGAAGGGUUUCCCAAACUCUUGAAUGCCUCUGGCAAGCAGAUGACCUGGGGAAUGGCUGUCAUGCCAAAAUGAUGGACUUCUAGCAAGGGUAAAAUCGUACCCUGUGAAGAUCAGGAAAAGUGUGUUUGUCAGAUUUAGUACUUCACCAAGAAGGCUUUAAGCUGAAAUUUGAGAAGGUGAGAAAGUUACUCAGUGAAACUGAACUUUUGUACUCAUAAGAAAAUGUGUGUCUAUAGACAUAGAGUGACUGGAGAGUCCCUUUAUUUGCAUGGGAAAAUGGGAGAAGAUGAGGAUUAAUAUAUCUGAUUACAAGUUAAGGGAUUGUGUUAGGUAGAAAAAGGAACUUAAGAUGUUAACAUCUGGAAGGAAUCAUUAUUUCACAGAUACCCUAGAAACAUAGGGCUCAGGACUGGAAUGUGGAAGCCCUGAUUUAAAGGGUGCCAGAGGAGCAAUAUGUAUACAAAAAUUAUAAAAGCACAAAGAAGGCCAGAAAUGAGCAUGAAGAAGCAUUAUAGAAACUAUAUGAAGAGAGCAUCGAGUAAUUUCACCAGGGGGGCUGUGUAAAACCUAAGAGACCACAUGCCAUUGCCAACAUCUGUAGACCAUGGUUCCAGAAUUCUGUUCCAAAGAGAGGCAAGAUGUAGUAAAAUGUAUCUCAGCUCUCUGAGCCUUUACUAGAUGGUUCACUCUGCCAGAAGAGGCACUGGGAAAUUUUUUGACAUGUUGAUGGUUUCAUCUCUGAGAAGAUGAAGGGAAAAUGAGGGUCAACCAGCUAUAUAUACCUCUGACCAAGAAGGAAAACUAUAUCAUAGUUGAGUUUACAAUUUCAUUUAGAAAAGGUAACUGGAAAAGUGGUGUGAAAACAAAACCAGGGCAAAUGCUGUGCCCAGAUUCUGUCAGGGGGAGCCUGGGUAAACAGAGAAUUCACACCGAGGCCAGAUGGGGUCCACUCUGGGUUCUAGUAGGCUUAACUUUAAUGAGGUGUAGAUGCAAAAAGUUUAGGAAACUAUAGGUAGCCCUUCAUGCUAGAAACAGAGAGACUAUGGUGCAAGAGAGAUGGAGCCCUAAACAAGGCAUUUCCAAAACAUAACCACACAUGACUGACGUCUGAAGGCAGCUGCUCAGGGACCUCGGAGGCCCUGGGACAGUGGGGCACUCUGCAGUGGAUGUGAGGCACCGGAGGGCGCCUGACUAGCAGAAACUGGGGAGAACUGGCAGGGGAGCCCGAGCCGAUGAGGCUGAGGCUUUCCAGCCAGGGCUAGUCAAUACGUUUGGAGAGCAAAGAGUAAGCAAGGAGGAGUGUGCUGUAAAGGAGGAGGACGAGAAACCACAGAAGAGUGUUGGGGAGGGGAAAGUAAAGAAACAACCCAGAAACAAUGGGGACCAUUCAGCAAACAUGGCUUUUUCAGCAUCCAUUUCUGAGGUGCAGGAUCAGGCUUUGGAGUCUCUUGGUCAGAGGACAGGUCUGAACCCCAAACCAGCCCAGGUCUAUCAGGCUCGCACUCAACACCGAAAACCUCUCCUUUGAAUACACUAAACCAGGCUCGCGGUGCAGUUCAGGAGAGUUAGCCGGCUGUGCACCUUUGGCUGAAGCUCUGGGACAGCAGCAAUUGCAUUGCUUGGCUUCCGGUCACCCUCCCCUUCCUUCUGACCCCAGCCACUCCAGAAAGCCUACCGGUGCAGGGGGCUGCAGGGAGCUGCGCUCCAAGCUUGAUCCUCAGGUGAUUCUAUCCAAAGAAGCUGCAGGACCACUGACCUAAGGAGUCUACCAGUGCCUCUUGUUGCUCAGGGACCCAUGAAUACUCAGGCUUUUAGCUUAAAAAUUCCUUUUUAUCUGACAAAGCUUUGCUGCAACCUAACCUACGGACAACAGACAAUAUUUCCUAUGGAAUGAGACCUUUAAAAAAUGUUAUACUCUCCUAAUAACUUCUCAGUGAUUCUUAAGUCUGCAGGUUAGAAACAAUCGCAGGGCCUACCCACACCAAGUCAGGAUGUCUGGGGUGGGGCCCAGGCAAGUAUGGUUUUGUUUGUUCAGUUUUGUUUUGUUUUAAGCUUUCUAAGUGGUUCUGAUAUAUACCCAAUGUGGAAAACCACUGCUGUUUAAACAUUAGGAAAUUAUAACAUCUUUUAAAGGCUCUGUUCUACAUGAUACCUAUUUCUUUUCAAAUCACCAAAUAACCCCUUUCCAUUGCUUCAUCAAAGAUAGUGUUCUCAGAAAGGAUGAAACAAACAUAGCUAAAAGACAGCAUCUGUAUAGGCAGCUGUAUAAAAUAUAUCUCUCUCGGCCCUAAAAACUUGCUUUCAAGGCACUGAAAAGAUUUGCAGCUAUAACUAAGUAGCCAUUGGUUCUUACAGCUUAAGAGGAAUAAGAGCAGCCAAAGAGGAAUCAAGAAAAUGUCAGCCCAGUUGUCUAAAAGAUGACCCAUGGACGAUACAAGCCAAUAUCCAAGGUCCAGCCUGCUGGCCCUCAGUGUGCAUCCCCAUCUUCUGUCUCUGCACAAGUUCAUGAACUCCUAACUGACCAGAAGGGCUCUGAGUGCAUUCUGCAGACCUAGCUCAAGACUACAUUUUGGAGAUGUUUGCUUCCAAAGACUCUCCUGUGAAAAAUCCCAUUUUUAUUCCUAGUAUGUAGUCCAAUUUUCCAAUCACAAGAAUAUUCUGGCAUAUUUUUUAAGAAAACCAGAUUUAUUGAAGAGCUGCUGAGUCUUUUAAAAAUGUCUUUACCCGAGAUGUAGACAAAGUUAAAUUCAUUCUCUGCAUAUAAAUCAGGGUAAGAAGGCAUAAUUGAGUCAAGAAGGUGCACUUGUUAGACUAUUGGUUCAGCUACAUCUAACAGACCUACAGUAGUAGUACUGAGUUGGACAAUAUCAAGCUUUAUUUUCCACUUACCUAGUAGUCUAAAGGUCUGUUUCCUAGAACUAGUAUGGUGACUCCAUGGUGUCAGGGACCCAGGCUGCUCUCAUCUUACUGCUUCAUCUUCCCUAGCCUUCAUUUGCAUGCUUCAGAUGGCUCACUGCAGCUGAGCCUCAGUUGGUCCAGACAGGAGAGGCAGGACAUGCCCCCUCCCCAGAAACUGCACCCAGUACUUUGCACACACCCAGCUGCAAUGAAGGCUGAGAAGUGUCCUUAUUUGGGGUAACCAGUAAAAACAAAUUCUAUUAGAGGAAGAGAACAGAUACUGGGAGACAACUAGUCUCCCCAGCAUAUUCCUGGAAAUGAUAACAUUUCAGAAAAGGGAGUGGGUGGACCAGAGAGGGAGGAAUCAUUAUCUCAUCCAAAGAAUGACUUCUGGCCUAAAGCAUCUAAGUCACCAUCAAAAAAGUCUGUGCUCUCCCUGAUUUUCCUUUAAAGGGCAUUGGUUGAGCUGCAAGGGACUCCCCUGUUAAAUGCCUGGCACUACUUAUGGGGUAUGAGGUGGCCUUUGAGGUCCAGCAGAGUUGUUGAUCCACCCCCAUCAAUCAGCUGGCCCCAGCCUCAUUAGGACAUCACAAGAACAAGAUUCUGACCUGGAAGAAAUGGUCAGAAACUGGAGGGAGAAGAGUCUUUCAGCAGCAAAGCUAAUUAAAAGGGAAAACCUGUUUCCACCCCUCUUCACUAUAUGCACAAUCUACCUUCUUGUUAUUACAUGCCUAAUUUGUCACCAAAGCCAAUCAGUUCCUGGGUGUUUUGCUUACACCUUUAGAUUUUGCACAUUCUUUCCUUAGUGCUCCUCCCUGUUAUUCCUCCAACUGCUUAAAACAUGUUUCUUGAGCAUUGGAACAAACCCACAUAUAUUCCCCUCCCUACACAAGGAGAAUACUGCUUUCUGUUAACAAAAACAACAAAAAGCCAAAAACAGUUCUGUCCUUCAGGUCCACAUGGUGGAUUUUAAGUCACGCAUUCUUUUUCUACCUAUGUGGAAGUUUAAUUAGUUUAAGUGGGAGGGCUGCGCCAAGAAACAGCACCAUAUCACAAUCUCAAUCUGCAGAGCAGAUUUUUUUCCCCUUAAUAAUGCUAUUUCAAACCCAAUGCUGCUUGCAGGUUUGAAACUGACAGUGUGUGUUAUUAGACAACAGCUACUGGUCCUUUCCAGGUUGCUUUAUCAUUCCAGGUUCCAGUCAGCAUUAUCCAUGAGCUGACUCUGCGGAUAACAGCAAAACCAUGUAUUUGAGGUACUAUGUGGUUUACAAAGCAUUUCAGACAAUACAGUGUGUUGUUUCAUGUCAGCCUUGUGCUCAUCUUGGUCAUAAAUGGAUAGCAUCACUCCCAUUUGGGUGAUGAAAAACUGAGGCUGGGAAUGGUUAAGUGACCAAGAAUGAACUAAAACUGGGUGCAAUCUCUCUGUGUUGCUAACAUAAGAUGUUAAAGAAUCGCCUAUGGUUAAAAGAGAAUUGAGUAUUUUUAACAAUGUUUUUUUCUUCUUGCUACAGUCCAAGAUUGUCCUGAACUUUGAUUUGCUAGACUUAUUUUCCACAAUCCUUUAAAUAAGGCUUUGAAAUUUUUCUCUUCCUCUGGGUCUUUUUUCACUUUGAGGUAAGGAUGACAAGCACAGAUCUUUCUUACAUAAUUUCUAGGUUUUAUAUCUUAGUUCUCUUCCCGCAAAUUUAAAAUGCCACUUUGAUUCUAUCACAGUCAAGGAAAACAAUCCCUCAUUUCUGCUAUUUAAGAUUAAAGGAAUUACAUCUAAAUACCAAUUAUCAGAAGCCUUCUGAAUAUUUCAUUUCUAAUGGAAAUGCUGGAUGUUUUAAAGCAACAUUAUCCCUUAUAAAACAGUUUGGAAAGAAAAGAAAAAAUCCCACAAGAGUAAUAAGGACUGCAUUUUGUAGGCAGAAGCUAGUUUUCAGAAAAAGUGCUGUUAUCUGUUAUAAGACUGCAAGAAAAUGGAUUUUAUAGUGAAAAUAGCUAAGAACACAAUCACCAUGUUAAGAAUGCUUUAGGGUGCGAGUAAAUGUCAGUAGUGUUAACAUGUAUGGGCAUGUAUCUGGAUGAGCUCUUUUAAAGAAAAGUCACAAGUUUUAUAAAAUCUAAGAAACUUUAAAGCUGUGUCAUUUAUAAUGUAAAAUUAAUGCACUUGAAAUUUAGUGGUUGACUCAUAGCUCCCACAUUUAUCUUCAGUUCUCUUUAGCUCAUAUGGUUUUCUUUAAAGAUUAGUGAUAUCAGCUAAAUGGGACUAUUUCCCACUCCUACCCACAGAAAAAGAAGUGCUUUUAUGAACGUGUCAGCUCCAUUCCAUCAUUACCUACCAUCAGGGAGUGCAACAGAAGCCGAAGCUGUCUGGCCAUUCAAGCUCCAGCACCAAUAUUAGUACAGGUUCAGGAGCAAAAUCCAAAUAAGACAACCCUAAAAUGUCCAUCUGUUUGUUUUAUGCAUGUAAGCCACCAUUCUAGUACCAAAGAUUUUUUUAUCUAGACUGGAUCUUUGAAGUCUUCCAAGUAUGCAUCCUUGUUUUGGACAUGGGGAAACUGAGCACAGAGAGGUUCACCAACUUGCCCAAAGUGACACAGCUCACAGCUGAGCCUAGAACACAGGGCUGUGGGAUUCCAAAGCCUUUGUACCUUCUGCUGCAUUGCUUCAUGGAGAGGAAAUGAUUCACCCCAAAUCUUUUGGCCUAUGCCCUUGCCGCAGCCCACAUAGCUGCCAUUCAACAGUACCUUCUGUUGGUGUCGUGCUGGCUAGGAGGCAAUUCCGUGAAUGUUCCCCAGAUGUGGGAAGCCAGACACUGUAUCUCUCCUUAAAGCUCCUCAGCUCUACUCCCUCCUGUGCGUUGCUUUCUCGUUACCCUUCUGGACACAUUCCACUGACUAGGUCCAGUUUCAGGGCCCAUUUUAUUAAAGUGAAACCCACCCAAAAUGGGACUCCUUCAGGACGUCCCUCAUCACUGUAUUCCCACUGCUGGGCUUCCUGCCUCCCAGCCCCGACCAGUCAGCCCCUUGCCUCUCCUGCUUCUCUCUCAACCCCCAACAUCCAAGUAAUUUCUCUCACAGCUCACCUUUUUCUACUUCCAUUGCUCUUUUUUUUUUUUUAACCUUGACUGAAAAUAGUCCUUUAGCUGGUUUCCCUGCCUCAAGACUCUCUAGAAAGGCUUUUCCUAAGCUUCAGUAGCUAUACAAGACCUAAUUGCUGUUGGUUUGUUAUCUCUGGACAAAGAAGCCACCACUGCUUCUGAUUCUGCUGUGAUUCUGCCAGCUCUAUGGCUUUAGGUAUGUGAUUUGUACAUUUGACUUCACUUUUCUCCAUGUAUAAAUUGAAGAUGUUGAGCAAAACCACUUCUAAAGAGAUGCCUCCCGUUCUAAGCUGCUGUGUAUCUCCUCACUUCAACCUGCCCAAAUAUUUCUUAAGAAAUCUUUCUAAAACACUCAUCUUUAUUUUUUACCACCACAAAAAUCUUUCAGUUGCCUCCUUUGACAUAAAUCCCAAUCUCCUUAACUUACAUUAAGGACCCACUACACAUUGGUACUAAAUUCUCCUACCUUACUGUUCCAUGCAUGUCAUGAACCCAUGUUCACGCCAAACUCAGCUACUCCCUUUUGGUCAUACCUGUGCCAGUCUUCUCACCUCUUUGCUCUUGCUACACUAAAUGCUUUCUACCUUGUGCUAUAGGUGGAAUCCAUGCCACAUCUUUGUAAGCUCCUUAAAAGCAGGGGCUACUACUGCUUCAUCUUUGUUUCCCACACAACAUUUAGCACUUUGUAGGUACUCAGUAAGUAAUUGUUUUUUGUUUUUGUUUUUGUUUUUUGUAUCAUUAAUAUACAAUUACAUUAGUAACAUUGUGGUUACUAGACUCCCCCCAUUAUCAAGUCCCCACCACAUACCCUAUUAUAGUCACUAUCCUUUACCAUAGUAAGAUGCUGUAGAGUCACUCCUUAUCUCCUCUGUGCUAUACUGCCUUCCCCGUGCGGCCCCCCCAUUAUGUAUGCUAAUCAUAGUGCUCCUUAUUGCCCUUAUCCCUCGCUUCCCACCCUUCCUCCCCAGUCCCUUUCCCUUUGGUAACUGUUAGUCCAUUCUUGGGUUCUGUGAGUCUGCUGCUGUUUUGUUCCUUCAGCUUUUGCUCUGUUGUUAUGCUCCACAGAUGAGUGAAAUCAUUUUAUACUUGUCUUUCUCCGCCUGGCUUAUUUCACUAAGCAUAAUACCCUCUAGCUCCAUCCAUGUUGCUGCAAAUGGUAGGACUUCUUUUCUUCUUAUGGCUGAAUAAUAUCCCACUGUGUAUAUGUACCACAUCUUUAUCCAUUCAUCUACUGAUGGACACUUAGGUUGCUUCCAUUUCUUGUCUAUUAUAAAUAGUGCUGCAAUAAACAUAGGGGUGCAUAUGUCUUUUUUGAAAUUGGGCUCCUGCAUUCUUAGGGUAAAUUUCUAGGAGUGGAAUUCCUGGGUCAAAUGGUAUUUCUGUUUUUAAUUUUUGAGGAACCUCCAUACUGCUUUCCAUAAUGGUUGAACGAAUUUACAUUCCUACCAGCAGUGUAGGAGGGUUCCCCUUUCUCCACAUCCUCGCCAACAUUUGUUGUUGUUUGUCUUUUGGAUGGUGGCCAUCCUAACCAGUGUGAGGUGAUAGCUCAUUGUGGUUUUAAUUUGAAUUUCCCUGAUGACUAGUGAUGUGGAGCAUCUUUUCAUGUGCCUGUUGGCCAUCUGAAUUUCUUCUCUGUAGAAGUGUCUGUUCAGAUCCUCUGCCCAUUUUUUAAUUGGCUUAUUUGCUUUUUCUUUGUUGAGGCACAUGAGUUCUUUAUAUAUUUUGGAUAUCAAUCCCUUAUCAGAUACAUCAUUUACAAAUAUAUUCUUCCAUACUGUAGGAUACCUUUUUGUUCUACUGAUGGUGUUCUUUGCUGUACAGAAGCUUUUAGUUUGAUAUAGUCCCACUUGUUCAUUUUUGCUUUUGUUUCCCUUGCCUGGAAAGAUAUGCUCAUGAAGAAGUUGCUCAUGUUUAUAUUCAAGAGAGUUUUGCCUGUUUUCUUCUAAGAGUUUUAUGGUUUCAUGACUUACAUUCAGGUCUUUGAUCCAUUUCGAGUUUACUUUUGUGUAUGGAGUUAGACAGUAAUCUAGUUUCAUUCUCUUACAUGUAGCUGUCCAGUUUUGCCAACACCAGUUGUUGAAGAGGCUGUCAUUUCCCCACUGUAUAUCCAUGGCUCCUUUAUCAUAUAUUAAUUGAACAUAUAUGCUUGGGUUAAUAUCUGGACUUGCUAUUCUGUUCCACUGGUCUAUGGGUCUGUUCCUUUGCCAGUACCAAAUUGUCUUGAUUACUGUGGCUUUGUAGUAGAGCUUGAAAUUGGGAAGCGACAUCCCCCCUGCUUUAUUCUUCCUUCUUAGGGUUACUUUGGCUAUUUGGGGUCUUUAGUGGUUCCAUGUGAAUUUUAGAACUCUUUGUUCUAGUUCGUUGAAGAAUGCUGUUGGUAUUUUGAUAGGGAUUGCAUUGACUCUGUAGAUUGCUUUAGGCAGGGUGGCCGUUUUGACAAUAUUAAUUCUUCCUACCCAAGAGCAAGGGAUGAAUUCCAUUUAUUAGUGUCCUCUUUAAUUUCUCUUAGGAGUUUCUUGUAGUUUUCAGGAUAUAGGUCUUUCACUUCCUUGGUUAGGUUUAUUCCUAGGUAUUUUAUUUUUCUUGAUGCAAUUGUGAAUGGAAUUAUUUUCCUGAUUUCUCUUUCUGCUAGUUCAUCAUUAGUGUAUAGGAAUGCCACAGAUUUCUGUGUAUUAAUUUUGUAUCCUACAACCUUGCUGAAUUGAGAUAUUAGUUCUAGUAGUUUUGGAGUGGAUUCUUUAGGAUUUUUUAUGUACAAUAUCAUGUCAUCUGCAAACAGGGACAGUUUGACUUCUUCUUUUCCAAUCUGGAUGCCUUUUAUUUCUUUGUGUUGUCUGAUUGCUCUGGCUAGGACCUCUCUAGUACUAUAUUGAAUAGAAGCAGGGAGAGUGGGCAUCCUUGUCUUGUUUCUGAUCUUAGAGGAAAAGCUUUCAGCUUCUCAUUGUUAAGUAUGAUAUUGGCUGUGGGUUUGUCAUAUAUGGCCUUUAUUAUGUUGAGGUACUUGCCCUCUAUACCCAUUUUGUUGAGAGUUUUUAUCAUGAAUGGAUGUUGAAUUUUGUCAAAUGCUUUUUCAGCAUCUAUGGAGAUAAUCAUGUGGUUUUUGUCCUUCUUUUCGUUGAUGUGGUGAAUGUUGAUGGAUUUUCGAAUAUACCAUUCAUGCAUCCCUGAGAUGAAUCCCACGUGAUCAUGGUGUAUGAUCCUCUUGAUGUAUUUUUUAAUUCGGUUUGCUAAUAUUUUGUUGAGUAUUUUUGCAUCUAUGUUCAUCAGGGAUAUUGGUCUGUAGUUUUCUUUUUUUGUGGUGUCUUUGCCUGAUUUUGGUAUUAGAGUGAUCCCAGCUUCAUAGAAUGAGUUUGGAAGUAUUCCCUCCUCUUCUAUUUUUUGGAGAACUUUAAGGAGAAUGAGUAUUAGAUCUUCUCUAAAUGUCUGAUAAAAUUCAGCAGUGAAUCCAUCUGGUAAGAGUUUUCUUUUCUUGGGUAGUUUUUUUUAUUACAAUUCAAUUUCAUUACUGGUAAUUGGUCCGUUUAGAUUUUCUGUUUCUUCCUUGGUCAGUCUUAGAAGGUUGAAUUUUUCUAGAAAGUUGUUCAUUUCUUCUAGGUUAUCCAGUUUGUUAGCAUAUAGUUUUUCAUAGUAUUCUCUAAUAAUUAUUUGUAUUUCUAUGGUAUCUGUAGUGAUUUUUCCUUUCUCAUUUCUGAUUCUGUUUAUAUGUAUAGAUUCUCUUUUUUUCUUAAUAAGGCUGGCUAGGGGUUUAUCUAUUUUGUUUAUUUUCUCAAAGAACCAGCUCUUGGUUUCAUUAAUUUUUUCUGUUUUAUUCUUCUCAAUUUUAUUUAUUUCUUCUCUGAUCUUUAUUAUAUCCCUCCUUCUGCUGACUUUGGGCCUCAUUUGUUCUUUUUUUCCAGUUUCAAUGAUUGUGACCUUAGACUAUUCAUUUGAGAUUGUUCUUCCUUCUUUAAAUAGGCCAGGAUUGCUAUAUACUUUCCUCUUAGAACUGCCUUCUCUGCAUCCCACAGAAGUUGGGGCGUUGUACUGUUUUUUUCAUUUGUCUUCAUAUAUUGCUUGGUCUCUGUUUUAAUUUGGUCAUUGAUCCAUUGAUUAUUUUGGAGCAUGUUAAGCCUCAAUGUGUUUGUGAGGCUUUUUGUUUUCUUUGUACAAUUUGUUUCUGGUUUUAUACCUUUGUGAUCUGAGAAGUUGGUUGGUAGAAUUUCAAUCUUUUUUAGUUUACUGAGGCUCUUUUUGUGCCCUAGUAUGUGGUCUAUUCUGGAAAAUGUUCCAUGUGCACUUGAGAAGAAUGUGUAUCCUGCUACUUUUGGGUGGAAUGUUCUAUAGAUGUCUGUUAGGUCCAUCUGUUCUAAUGUGUUGUUCAGUGCCUCUGUGUCCUCAUUUAUUUUCUGUCUGGUUGAUUUGUCCUUUGGCAUGAGUGGUGUGUUAAAGUCUCCUAAAAUGAACGCAUUGCAUUCCAUUUCCUCCUUUAAUUCUGUUAGUAUUUGUUUCACCUAUGGAGGUGCUCCUGUGUUGGGUGCAUAGAUCUUUCUAAUGGUUCAUUAGAAAUUUCUAAUAUCUAAUUCAAUAGAUAUUUCUAAUAUCCUCUUGUUGGACUGACCCCUUUAUUAUUAUGUAAUGUCCUUCUUUGUCUCUUGUUACUUUCUUUGUUUUGAAGUCUAUUCUGUCUGAUUCAGUAAGUAAUUGUUGAAUAAGUUUAUUCAACCCCCAACUGCACUAAAAUUUUGGAGCUAUUGUAUCAUACUCAUGACUCAUACUGGGCUUCCAGUCAAACUAAAUCCUUAAGCCUUUUAAAAAUAUAUUCUUUAAGCAAGCUAGUUUUCUUCCAUUCUUGCCUCUUGCCUACUUUGAACUGAUACUCAGAACAUCACCUGUUUAAUUUUCAUCCAUUUUUCUUGUCUGUACAGCUCUUUUUGAUUUUUUUUUAUUCUCUGACCUAGUUUAUUGUAAUGGCAUCUAAUUGAAUUAUCCACAGGUACAGUGGGUCUACUGGCUGUUUCACUGAUGCUAUUGAUAAAAAUGUUGAAGAGAAGAAAGACCAGCAGAUUGCCAGCUUGGCACUUCAUUGUCUAGCUGGACAAUGACCUCUUAUCUAGCAAUUUUUGGAUAUGGUCAUUUAAUCACAUAUGACUAUCUGCUCAUUUCAUUAUAAUUCAUCAUGUAUAUAGACAAUGAAGAACAAUCUGUGCAUUCAUUCAACUCAUUUAUUGAAAACCAAUCAGAUAUAAGGCAGUGUGCUAGGCUUUGUGUGCUAAAAACCAGUGAUUAAGAUUUGACUACUGUCCUCUUUGAGCCACAAAGAGCAAAUACAACCAAUGUAGGACAAGGUAGAAGAGAAGCCUAACACAAGAGGUAGGUCAAAGAAAUUUGGAAAGUCAAAUGGAGAGGCACAUUCCUGACUGGGUGAAACCUUACAGAAUGAGUAGGAUUAUCAUAAGUGGAAAUGAGGGUGUUAUGGUACAGGUUAAGCUGUUGUAACAAAGAGAGUCCAAAAUAUGGAGGUGGCAAUAUUUUUACAACAGUGUUUCCAACAGUGGCAGUUCAUUUCUCUUUCAACAGUUAAGGAUAGGCAGGUGGUCCAAGCCUAGUUGUCCACCCUCAGUAGACUUCCACUUGCAUGUUCCAGGUGACUGCUGCAGUCCUCAGCAUCCCCAGCCAGAAGGAGUAGGAGACCGAGACGAACCAUUCAGUCAUUUUAAGGACGUAAGCAGGAAGUUACAUACAUUACUUCUAUUCAUGUCACAUUGGUCUGUGCUUAGUCACUUGGCCACAUCCAGUUGAAAGAGAGUUGGAAAAAUGUAGUCUUCCACUGGAUGGAUAUAGCCCCAUCCCCAGCCAAAACUUUGUCACUUUUGAAGGAGAAAACAGAUACUAGGAAGGCAAUUAACAGUGUGCCACAAAGGAGAAAGAAUGCCUUCCACUUGAGAAGAAAACUGAUUGAUUAACUAUAUCUCAGCUGAGUGGAAGUUAUAGGGAGCAUAGAUUUUUUAAAAAUUUACAACUCUUAGGAAGGAAUGGGCUGUCUUGAGUUAGAAUACUCCAUCUCUGAAAAUGGUCAAGAAAAAUGAUCAGAAGCACUUACACUCAAAGGGAGGAUGAAUAAAAGGUCAACCUCAAAGACUCAACUGUGUGAUUGUCAGUAAGGUGAGGCCCAGAAGACUGGUGGGCUAUAAACUGUCAGAAAACUACAACUCUAGCCCUAAUGCGAGGAAAUAAAGGUGGAAGCUAUAAGAAUGGACUGGAAGGAACAGAAAAAAGAACAAACAGAGGUUGGCUGUCCACAUGUGCACUUCUCAGAAAACAGCUUGGGGUAGUGAAGGGCAGAUGGGGGGAAGCACAUUAGCUUGGCCACCUUAGAUAUUUAGAGAGUUGGGCUCCAGGAAGCCAUUUCUGUGCUGUGGUCAGGCAUGGAAAGCCUAGGAAAGAGAACCUGGUUCUUUAUGCAUAAAACAAUGAGCACCCAAAUAGGCUCUGCUCUUGAAAAGGCAUUUUGUUCAUGCAUAAGUAUUUUUUCUCAUUCUGUCCUUAUUUUUUUCUGUUUAAAUUCAGUCAAAGCAUUACCAAAUUUCAAAAUAAUGUGGCCGGUUUUCCCCUACUCCACUUCUCAGUUCACCAAAGGCAUUUAAUCUGUUUGUUCUGAAAAUUCAACUGUUAUCUGUAUUUAUAUGUGUUCUGAUAGGAAAUGUUUUGUGUAGCAAUAAAAAUCAUUCCCUUUGGCAGAUACCUUGUUGCUUUGUUUUCUGUCCAAGAAUGAUAUUUCACAUCUGUUUAAUAGUAGCAUUUCCCCCACUAAGCAGAUUCCAUGAGUGGCCAGUUUGAAUGCCAAACCAGAGGAGUCAAAGCUUGUAGCUCCUAAUGGUUGUGCAGGGCCAUAGAAGAAUGUUCUCAAGCAGCCCCUGCAGACACCUGAGAGAAGAGAGGGAGGCAUAAUUAGAAAAGGCCUCCAGUGAGGGCUCCCCUGUCUCCUGUGUCUAAGGGACUCCUGCUGUUGGCACAAUCAUAGAUGCUUCCUUGUACUGAGCACUUGCCAUGUAAUAGGCAGUGGCCUGAGCACUUACAGGCAUUAUCUCAUUUGCCUCUUACAGUGGUUCUAUGAGGCAGGUAUCCUCACAGCUCCCAUUUUAUAGAAGAGGGAGCUGAGCUCAGAGAGCUCAGGUGACUUGUGCAAAGUCACACAGGAUUCAAACCUCACUUUGUUGGACUCCAGAGCUCUACAUCAGAUUCCUUAGAUGGAGUAUGUACUCUGAUUCUGCAUAGACUGUGUCUCUGCCUCUUGGGCAUUGCAAGCCAGGACAAUGAAGCCAUUGAGGAGGAUUUCCAGGGGGAGAUCAGAGAGAACAGGAGCAGGCAGAGCCUGGACCUGAGCCCUAAGGGAAUUAGUUUAGCUGAGGGAAUAAGCUAAGAUGGGCCAGGUGGGCCAGACCCACUCCAUGGAAGUUGGGUGGCAUGGGGUGAAAAGUACAGAUUUUAGAGGCAGGUCACCUGAGUUCACCCUCACUGACCCUGGCCAAGGUAAUUAUCCUUUCUAUGCCUCAGUUUUCCCAUCUGUAAAAUGAACAUAAAAAUCUUAUCUGUCUCAGGAUUGUCCUGAGGAUUGAGUGAAUAUAUCUGAGAUAGAGGCUGUUGGUUACCCCACAAUCCCCUCUUUUUCCAUAGUAAUGACUCCCAAUUCUUAGCUGGGCACAUGACCUCCCACAAUAAAAACUACACUAUCCAGCUUUCCUUGCAGCUGUGUAUGGCCAUAAACUAUGGCCACUGAGAUAUAAGCAGCUGCUAUGUGGCUGCUACCUGGAAAGGCCAGGUGGCAUGUACUCUUUGCUCCCUUUUUUUCUUUGUCCCUUCUUCCAGUCUUCUGCCUGGAAUGAAUGUGAAUGUGAUGUCUGGCAUUCUGGCUGCCAUUUUGGACAAGAGGACAAGGAUAACACCCUAUGGAUAAUGGAGCUGUGAGCUGGAUGGAGACUGUCUGAAGACUUAAUGAGUAAAGCCAUUAUACCAGUCCUUGGCUACCUACUUCUGGACAUGUACAUAAAAGAGAAGUAAACAACUCUCUUAUGAUCCUGCUGUACCAUCACUCCUGAGAUGAGCCUUGCCACUGACAUUAGUGAGUCAGCCAUAAAACAGCUAUCAAAAUUGGACCUGCAACUAGAUGAAAAGACCAGGAGGAAGUAUUCCAAGAUGGGUCUACUGGUGGUGGAAUUCAGGUUAUUUUAGGCAAACUGGCCAAGGCCCAGGGAAGACGGAAGGGUGGGCCCUGACACACAGUCUGAGCAGCUGCUGGCCAUGCCGCAGCCCUGGAGGGAGUGGCUGCAAAGGCAGGAAGGGCAGCAAUCCUGCUUUCACCUGCUAGCAGGUGUGGUGUAAGUGCUGGCUCCUUUUGUUGUCCUGAUAGUCCCAGGAGGGAGGUAUUGUUGGCCUACUGUAUCAGGCAGGGUCCAAGAAGGGGACAGAUUAGUGCACUCAAGUUGGCUAACUGAGGAGAGUCUAAUAAAGGGACGUUAAUAAAAGUGUGAGCAGAUUUAAGGAAUUCAGCAAAUAAUAGUGUAGUACCUCAGGACUUAGCAACAGCUGGGAAUCCUGAUGCCUCCUGAAGGGGUAAGAAGACCAGCCAGCCAUAACAACCCAGGAGAGAGGGAGCCAGGAAAAUUGACACCCUGGCCUCACUUUCUUCUGCCAGGGGUCCCCAGGGGCCAAAUGCAGUCAGGUGGGCCAGAGAGGUGAGCCUUCCAGGCCGUGGGCAGGAUGGGAAGAGUCAAGAGGGACUCUGGAAGAGAAAACAUGACCAGCGCAAUAAGGUUAGAUGAUCCUAGGUAAGGGAACCCAGGCAGUCUAGGCUUCAACCUGCAGGCUCUGCUUCUCUGCCUCUGUAACAGUGUCAUGCGACUCCAUUUUUCUGGUUUCACAUGCUCACUAGGUGCGCUUCCACUCUUGCCCAUGAAACCAGGGCAGACUGCAGCACUCUAGGCUGGCCUAGAAGUUUCCAGGAGGACACACACACACAGACCAUGCCGUUCUGUGAACACUAUCAGGAAACCACCUGGGAACUUCACUUCAACAGCAUAGAGAAUGCUUCAGUGACUCACCCCAGCACCAGGGCUCCAGAAGCAGUUAAGACCCUAGUUUGAAAAUUAGACUGGCCAGGACUUGAAUCCUGACUCUACCACUGACUAGGUGAAUUUGGGCCUCAUUUGUAGAAUGGAAGUUAUCAUAGCAGUGAGGAGAGUUGUUAAAAUUAAAUGCAAUAUGCAAUUUGCUUUGCACUCAUUAAAUGUUAUGCAAAACUCUAUUGUGGUAACUUCUAUGGUUUUGCACUACCAUGCCUUUUUGACCUACUUACUUACUCA